CCCAUAUGAAAAUAGCAUUAAUUAUUGCAAAAAUCUCAUUUUUUGUCAUAACAAAACAGACAAAAACAGUAACAGUUGUAGGUUGGCAUUAAGAACGUGCGGGUCGUAUUUUUAAUAACUUAAGAUAUUUGUCCGAUUAUGGAUUAUUGGACACAAAUAGGAUCAUCGGCAUGUUUCCACACAAAAUUUGCCAUGUUCAGCUUUUAGCUGUCCUCCUAAGAAACUCUUCAUUUUCUUGUUUUGCCCCUUCUCAUUUCCAGUAAUUGAAAUGUCAAAAACAAUUUGUUGGAUUAAUAAAACAAAUUCAAUGGGACACGUGAAGAAACAUGUGUAGCUUGGCGCUUGUUUCAUUGAAAAGGAGAGAAAGAGACCAAAACAAAGAGAUUAAUGCUUUUACAUGAGUAUUGAGACGCAUGAGAGCAUUGUAGGUGUGGGCCUAAGCCCUGACACACACACACAACAGCACUUUUAGUCAAAACAAAAUAAAUGUUGCAAGUUAAACACUGCAUGAACCUGGAAGGACACAGAAGUGUUUGAUCUUUUUUUAAUCUUGAUGUCUUUCUUUCUGUUUGAACCACCCAGCCGUGACAAAACCACAUAUAGUUUGUAGUAUGUCGUGUAAAAAAAAAAUCCAAAGAAAAUGGCAGUGAUAAAUAAAUAAGAAUCAUAGAGCGACGUCAGGACACUGGUGUAACGCUAUUCAGAUAGCACCUUGUUCUUUACACCUUUGAUGAGAUUUUGAAAUGCACCAAUUCAUCUUUUUGUUCUCUUAUCACAUCUGUGUAAUUCCAGUGUUUGCAAUGAGUUAAAUAUAAUUAAAUACGGUUAAUGAGGGAACCAUCGCUGUUCUACGGAGCUAAUAAUUGAUAACAGGUCAAUCUACACAGCUUCAUCUUCGUGUAGCUCGUGGAAAUACUGCUCAUUUCAGUGAACAUCUGUUUCUUGUUGCAGAUUAUUGCCACUAAGACAAUCUGAUUAAAGUAAAUUUUCAAUAAACACAAAAGUGUAAUGUCCAAUUUCAUGUCAAUUAUUGUGGCUGAUUGUGGCUUUCAAAACAGUCUUUCAGCAACAGACUUUGUUAUGCGAACCCCAUUUAACCCCCAUUUGUCGACAUCUAAGGGCGGUUUCUUUCAGUUGAUAUCGAAACAAGGUUUCAAGAAGAGUUCUGAAAUUGCACUAUUGUCCACAGUCCUGAAGCGAUGCAGUUUCAGUCCCACAGGUUCUGCGCUUUGGCGCAAACUGUCAGUCUUCAUACCGGCAACAGUUGUUGUAGAGGCAAGACAAGGUCCCUCUUUUAUUUAUAUUCCAUUGUCUUCUUGCCGCCGUGCUUUCUCCAGGCAGGUGGAGUUACAGGUUUCACCAGACAGUCGUUAGUAGUGUUACGGAGUGAAUAAGUACUUAAAUGAAGGGAGUCACUCUGCUUCACCUCUGAAUCCGCAAAAUACGCCAAGUUCACUUGGCCUCCUGAGGUGGGAACAUAGAAAGAUGUGCUUUAGACUGCAUAAUAUGGAAUAUAGAAUAAAGAAAUAUUACAUACGGUCAUUCCAAUCUAAACAGU
ensembl:lncRNA